GGCCUUUGCUCACUUACAGGCCAGCUGCAGCCAUAUUGUCCAAAACAAAAAGACAAAAACAAUAAUCAGCAAACUGAAUAAAACCUUUAAGGAAGGCGUCACACCCACAUCUUCUAGCGUGGGAUCAGAAAAGCAAGUGGGCCCUGGUCCUCCCGACAUUCACAACCCUUACCUCUCAGGAUCUUCUAAGAUGGGACGUCACAUACAGGAGGGGACUACACACAGAAGGCAGCCAAGAAAUAGACGAAAAAGAUUCGGGUAUUUAAGCAAGAGAAAUGAAGAUACACGUCACUAUGAAGACCUGCACAAAAAUGCUCACGGCAGCUUUAUUUGUAACACCCCAAAACUGGAAACAGCCAAAUGUCCAUUAACAGAUAAACAAACUAGUAUAAUCAUACAAUGGAAUACCACAUAGCAACCAGAGGAAACGAGCUUCAUACACGCAACAAUGUGGAUGAAACGAAAAUAAAUAUGCUGAGUGAAAGAAGCUG